rnacentral:rRNA from 1 species
CUGAGAGGAAGGUCCCCCACACUGGUACUGAGACACGGACCAGACUCCUACGGGAGGCAGCAGUGAGGAAUAUUGGUCAAUGGGCUUACGCCUGAACCAGCCAAGUCGCGUGAGGGAAGACUGCCCUAUGGGUUGUAAACCUCUUUUGUCAGGGAGCAACGCCGGCUACGUGUAGCCGGACUGAGAGUACCUGAAGAAAAAGCAUCGGCUAACUCCGUGCCAGCAGCCGCGGUAAUACGGAGGAUGCGAGCGUUAUCCGGAUUUAUUGGGUUUAAAGGGUGCGUAGGCGGAAUGCCAAGUCAGCGGUAAAAUCGCGGGGCUCAACCUCGCUCCGCCGUUGAAACUGGCGUUCUUGAGUGGGCGAGAAGUAUGCGGAAUGCGUGGUGUAGCGGUGAAAUGCAUAGAUAUCACGCAGAACUCCGAUUGCGAAGGCAGCAUACCGGCGCCCAACUGACGCUGAAGCACGAAAGCGUGGGUAUCGAACAGGAUUAGAUACCCUGGUAGUCCACGCAGUAAACGAUGAAUACUAGCUGUUCGGGGCAAUUGGGCCUUGAGUGGC